UACAGAGGGGCAAGCGUUAUUCGGAAUUAUUGGGCGUAAAGGGCGCGUAGGCGGCUUGGCAAGUGGAUGGUGAAAUCCCUCGGCUUAACCGAGGAACUGCCGUCCAAACUGCUUCGCUUGAGACCGGGAGAGGUGAGUGGAAUUCCCAGUGUAGCGGUGAAAUGCGUAGAUAUUGGGAGGAACACCAGUGGCGAAAGGCGGCUCGACGUGGACCGGUAGUGACGCUGAUGCGCGAAAGCGUGGGGAGCAACGGGGAUUAAGAA
rnacentral:rRNA from 1 species